AGAAUAUGGCGUUACGAAGCCAUAUUGACGCUUCCGGACUCUGCAUGUCAACACAGCAGGAGGCAGAUGUGUACAGCACCUCAGCCCCAGAUGAGUUAAAGACCCUUGGGAUGUUGAGCAGCACCAUUACAAUUGAAAAUGAUACCUGCAAACUUACAAACAGCUGCCAUUGUAGAACUUAAUUCCAAUGAACGCUAUAACACCACCACCACUCCCACAGCACCACCACAUAUGGCAAGAGGAGUUAAUGACUAAACCUGAGAAAUUAACUGGAGCAUGGAGACACUGCUGUUACAGGUGUGUUUUUGUCUGUCUGUCUGUCUGAUUUUCUCUAUUCUGUA